AAGCGGCAACAGCUCAAAUUUGAAAUCUGGCUCUUUUAGGGUCCGAGUUGUAAUUUGCAGAGGGCGCUUUGGCUUUGGCAGCGGUCCAAGUUCCUUGGAACAGGACGUCACAGAGGGUGAGAAUCCCGUACGUGGUCGCUAGCUAUUGCCGUGUAAAGCCCCUUCGACGAGUCGAGUUGUUUGGGAAUGCAGCUCUAAAUGGGAGGUAAAUUUCUUCUAAAGCUAAAUAUUGGCCAGAGACCGAUAGCGCACAAGUAGAGUGAUCGAAAGAUGAAAAGCACUUUGGAAAGAGAGUCAAACAGCACGUGAAAUUGUUGAAAGGGAAGCGCUUGCAGCCAGACUUGCUUGCAGUUGCUCAUCCGGGCUUUUGCCCGGUGCACUCUUCUGUAGGCAGGCCAGCAUCAGUUUGGGCGGUGGGAUAAAGGUCUCUGUCACGUACCUCUCUUCGGGGAGGCCUUAUAGGGGAGACGACAUACCACCAGCCUAGACUGAGGUCCG
rnacentral:rRNA from 1 species